rnacentral:lncRNA from 1 species
UGAGGCCAAAAGAAGAAAGGCCCACUUCACUAUUCGGCCUUGACCAAAAAAACUAAGUAACACUUACUCUGGACCUCUGUCUUGGAAUUCACUAUUAUUAACUGCGGAGGAUUAACAUAUGGAAUGUCAAGAACAAUGACACUAUCUUCGACAUGGGAUUUAUGGUCAGCUGUAGGAAACACAAAGUGUAUAUCGGCCGCAUGCUGCUGCUCUGAG